AAAACCACCGGUCUACCACAAACUGGAAACAGCGGAAAACCCCGAGGGUCACCGGCCACCAUGCUUAAUUGAAGCAAAGUUGAACUAAUCUGCCGCGACGAAUAUCAGAUCGCAACUGCUAAUAAUUUCGUCGUCUGAGGCGGACUGUUAUGGAGGUACAAAAUCUUCAGUGAUGAUGAAUGCGUUCACGCUUCUACGAGCCGGUAAUUGGCGGUAUCCAGAUCAUCGUCGUACUGUUAGCUUACCUAAGCUACCGAAAUUAGCGACAGUGUAAAAUCUGUGCUGUGAGAAUUACAGCUGGCUCUCACAACCGUCCGGAAGUCGCAGUGAUUUGGUAACAUCAAGAUCAUCACCAUCGCACGAAGCGCAGCAUAUUGACGCAAGCCCAAGCGGACAGCAACCACCUGCAGCAAACGUACGCUGAACGAAUGGUCGUGGUAGAUGCGUUAGGAUUGCAAGGUGAUACUUGCGCUCUGAAAAUGCUAGCACAGAUGUUUGGGCCACAGAGGUGACGUUCCGAGAUUGUAAAACA